GCCCGGCUAGCCUAAUGGUAAGGCGUUUGACUUCUAAUCUCAUAGGAUGGCUAUUCGAGCUACGAUAGCGCUAUGAUACACACGAUAUCAAAAGAUUGUGGGUUCGAUCCCCACGUCGGGUG
rnacentral:tRNA from 1 species